rnacentral:rRNA from 1 species
UACGUAGGGAGCAAGCGUUGUCCGGAAUCAUUGGGCGUAAAGCGCGCGUAGGUGGCUUCGUAAGUCCGCUGUGAAAGUCAAAGGCUCAACCUUUGAAAGCCGGUGGAUACUGGGGAUCUCGAGUCCGGGAGAGGUGAGUGGAACUCCGAGUGUAGAGGUGAAAUUCGUAGAUAUUCGGAAGAACACCAGUGGCGAAGGCGGCUCACUGGCCCGGUACUGACGCUGAGGUGCGAAAGCGUGGGGAGCAAACAGG